rnacentral:lncRNA from 1 species
CCCAGAGUUUCCAGCAUACCCUGCCCAGCGCUCCACGCAGUUAAGUAAACACAGCAUGACUGUUGGGGCAUGCGGCCAACGCCGAGGCCAGGGGGAGGGGAUGAGGCUGAGAGGAAAUAAGAGCAAAUUCCUCUGAAAUGAUCUGACAGGAAAUGACAAGAGUAUUGGCCUCAUACAAGCGCGCUGUGAGGGGCAGUGAGAGGGAGAGAGGGAGACCGUCUUCCGAAGCACAGAGCGGUGCCAGAUCUCGAACAAGACUACCAUGAAAGGAAUUUCACAUGGAAAGAAUGCUUUCACAAGUCCCUUCAGCCCUAAGAGCAAACCAAAACUCUGGAGUCAAAGAAGGGGAUACUGGGAAAUCCUACAGGCUUCCACUUCUAGCAUCAUGAUCUCCUUGGCAGUGUUGGAAGAGGCGGGGCUGAGGCACCUACACUGGUAAGAACUUGGAAGUGAAUAUUAAACUACUAUAACCACAUUUUGGUGCUGAUACUGCAUUUUCCUGCUUUAUGGUCUAUGCUGAGCUGUUUGAUUGAACAACAGUCUGCUGUUUAAUCAAGGACCAUGUGUUAUUCUCUAUAAGUGUACUGCAUUAUAAAAGGGAAUAUAAAAUUAAUUUCAGGAUAUAUAUGUUUAAUUAUGCAGCCUUGUGUUAUGUAUC